ensembl:lncRNA
GGAGGGGCUGAGGGUCCUUGGGUUGUUUGGCCCAGAGCAGAGGAGGAUGAAGAGGGGUCUCAUGGCAGCAUUGCAGCUCCUCGUGGUCCUACAGAUCCUCAUGGCCUCACUGCUCCUCAUAGCCCUACAGCUCCAUCAUGGUGACCCUACAGUUCCUCAUGGCAACCCUACAGCUCUUCAUGAUAACCCUACAACUCCAUCACGGCAACCCUACAGCUCCCUUAUGGUUCCUCAUGGCAACCCUACAGCUCUUCAUGGCAACCCUAAAACUCUUCAUGGCAACCCUAUAGCUCUUCAUGGCAAUCCUACUGCUCUCUCAUGGCAACCCUACAGCUCCCUUAUGGUGGUCCUAUAGUUCCCCAUGGCAGCCCUACAGUUCUCCAUGGCAACACUAUAGCUCCCUCAUGCCAACCCUACUGCUCCCUCAUGGUAGUCCUACAGCUCCUCGUGGCAACCCUAUAGCUCCUAGUGGCCCUACAGCUCCAUCAUGGCAACCCUACAGCUCCAUCAUGGCAACCCUAGAGCUCCCUUAUAGUUCCUCAUGGCAACCCUACUGCUCUCUCAUGGCAACCCUACAGCUCCCUCAUGGUAGUCCUACAGCCCCUUGUGGCAACCCUACAGCUCCAUCGUGGCAACCCUACAGCUCCUCAUGGAAGCCCUACAGCUCCUCAUGGCAACCCUACAGCUCUCUCAUGGCAACCCUACAGCUCCUCACAGGGGCAUGAAGGGACAAUCCAGUUGGACAACAGAACAUCAGCCAUGGUGGUGAACCCCAAUGGGCUGUGCAUGGGUUGAGAUCGGUACCCACUGGCAACAUGCAGGGGGACUUCCCCAGUGUCCAGCCCAGCAGAGAAGUGGCACUAAUGUGAGAAAAAGGGUCUGGGGGUGGGAUUUGGGGCUGGAAAAGCACCACAAAGCAGUCCCUCUGGGCCCUGUGUGCAGGAUGCAGAGGGACUCAACCUUUCCCACACCACCGCAGCACAGAAUUGGGACUUUUCUCGCCUGGAUAUCUAUUUUUACCCUUCAGCAGAAGAUGGGGUUUUGGUUUCCUGCCGACUCAAGAUGUGUGGUGUCUCAGCCAUCUUCUUUUACCACCUAAGGGACUUCAGGAGGGGGCAUGGGGACAGAGCUCCAGGUGUUGGAGGAGGCUACUUGCCCAGCUUGGCCGAGGAGAUGUUCAUCUAAAUCAAGGUUUCCCAUGGGUGGAAGGAGCUCACCAAGCCAAACUUCAGACUCCAAGCUGAGAGUGCCCUGACUUGAUGAGGGACUCCCCAGCCUCAAGGACCCAUCCUGCUUCCUGCCCUUCAGACAAGAGUGGGUUCAUGGUCACCUUCUGCACACACAUCAUCCCCAUAGCGGCUUCCCCAUGGAGGCAAACCCCAUUUGAAUCAGAGCCACAGGAGGGCCGCCCCCAAUUCUUGAUAGAAUCAAGAAUUAAGAAUCAUAGAGUUAAGAAUCAAGAGUCAUAGAAUUCUUGGUAGAAAGAGCUUGAUAUGUUCUUUACUCUGAGAGUGGGGAGGUGCUGCAACAGCUGCCCAGAGAGGCUGUGGAUGCCCCGUCCAUCCGUGGAGGUGUUGAAGGCCAGGUUGGAUGGGGCCCUGGGCAGCCUGGGCUGGUAUUGAAUGUGGAGGUUGGUGGCCCUGUGUGUGGUGGGGGGGUUGGAGCUUCGUGAUCCUUGAGGUCCCUUCCAACCCAGGCCAUCGUAUGAUUCUAUGAUAGAACCCUAUGGAAGGUGAUUUCCCGUUUAACAUCAAUCAAACCCAACUUGAGAGGUGACGCCGACGUGCAGAACGCAGAGCUCUGUGGCUGGGAUGGGAUCAGAGCACUCCGGGAGCUGGAAACCCAACCCACCCUGAUUUACUGGGGAUGGGGGGAAACACGGGCUGUGUGACGGCUCUGUGCUCCCUCAGCAUGGUUUUCCUGACCCCCAUUUUCCUGCACCCACCAGCAGCACUCCCCAGAGCUGAGGCUGGCCCGAAGGCUCGCUCUCAGCCCGUGUCCUUGUCAGUGGGCCAAUAUUCUUAUCUCGAGCCUGGCUGGCUUUUCUUUCUUGGAUCUUUGCCACCGCAGCUAAAAUAACACUCUCACCCCUCCCCUCUUGCAAAGGUCACGUUCCGGGGAUGAAUCCGGAGCGUCCCAGCCUGGAUUCUGGGCUUAGGACCAUGGAUGGGGCCAACACGGAUGCAGAGCAUUGAGGUGCUGGGUGAGCACCCACAGGGCUGGCGGUGCCCUGGGUGGGAGCAGGCUCAGAACCAGCACCUCCAAUGCCCUCAGCUCUCUGACUAUCAGCUGAGCACACCUCCAUUCCUCCCCGGUCACGCGGUUGUUUCCUUGUAGAUCCGCCUCUCACCCUCGAACAACACUGGAAAGUCCAGAUUGGCAAAAAACAAGUUUGGAGGCAAUGGUUUGUUUAACCGAUGGGUACAGUCGGUCUUGUGCUUGUUUUCUGUUUUUUUUUCUCCCCAAACAAGUCUUGAAAUCAAAGGAGAGUGCUUCCAAGCUAAAUACGAGUGGGGAGCAAUUGAGUGCUUAAUGGAGUGGGUAUUGGUCAGGACAUCACAUAAGGGAAACAUAAAUCGUGGUUAAGGAUGCGUGUAGGCAAGGAGGGAGGGAAGGAGAAGAGGAAUGAACUCAGCAUCCCAAAGGAAAGGGAGUCUGGCAGCGUAUAGCUCAUGGGACACGGGUAGAGGGAGGAGUGCAGGACCUGUAGCAAAGGCAUACAAACCUUUACAGCAGCACCGUUUUGCCAGGUCGGCUGGAGGAGCAAACCUGAGGCCUCCAGAUGUGCAAGCAGCAGCUGGGGAUGUGUUAACCCAGAAGGGCUCCUUCCCUGUGUCCCCAGAGCCACCUGCUGCCACUGGGGCUUUCCCAGGAGAUGGCGGUGCUCCUUCAUCCCCUGAAGGCCAAGGGUUGGGUGAUGCUUGACGUUGCACUGCCACUGCUACUUCAGGCUGGAGAUAAGGGAAAAGCUUUCCACCAUGAGCAAUAUCUGUCGUUGGAGGUUUCCAAGACCCACGCAAAGAGGAGAAAGCCCCACUCAACCUGGUCUGAGCCCAGCGCUGCCCAUGCUGUGAGUAGGAUGGUGGAGUUGGGGUCUCCUGUGGUUCCUUCCAACCUGAGUUAUCCCAGCAUCUUCUGCUCAGCGGAUCCCCACAGACCGGGGUCAGAGUGAAGGUGCAAAGCCAUGUCAGCGAUGGAGCAGCCCAGACCUACAGGUAAUGAGGGUCACCCCUCCACCCUUCAUGAAACCAACAGCUCGGACCGAUCUCUGUUAGGAAGGCAUUGUGUUUUGUGUUAGAGGUCCACGUGGAGAUCCCACUGCCUCCUGCCCGGCUGGUCCUGGUGUUUAACAUUGCUUCUUCCCUGCAGUCUCUGCCCUGUGCAUGACUGUUUGGUGCUUUAUGCAAUUUGAGCUUAGCCAUCCAGUGACCAAAGGGCCCUUUGGCUCACAACACGGGGCCUCAUGUAUGAUCUCCCCUGUAGCAACCAGGGCAGGUCUUUUUGGGAAGGAGAAGCUGAGUCACAAGCAGAAGGUCCCCAGCCUGUUUCAAGUCAAGGGGAAGGCCCUGAGUUUGCAAUGGAGAUGAAUUACACACGAGGUUCCCCAUGGAAAGUAGGUGAUGGUUUUGCUCCCAAUGGGGCUCAUGCAUUAAGCAGGCUGAGCACAGCUUGGGCAGUUGGGACCUGAACCCACCACCACCAUAGAGCUGGGAGCUCACAUGGAAACCGUACAUCAGAACCUACCUCCUCCUGGUUAGAAAGCACCAUGAGGAAGCCCUUUCCCUCAGCCAAGUGCCUGCAGGUGUUUCCUGGUGUUUCCAGGCGUGGGGACUGGCUGGGUUCUCCCUUUCAGUGCGUCAGCUGUGGGGUGGCCUUGGCAAAGCAUUGGGAUGUGCUCGGAGCCUCAGCAAGGACC